rnacentral:rRNA from 1 species
UACGAGGGGGGCGAGCGUUGUUCGGAAUUAUUGGGCGUAAAGGGUGCGUAGGCGGUUCCGCAAGUCCUGUGUGAAAUCUUCGGGCUCAACUCGAAGUCUGCACGGGAAACUGCGGGGCUUGAGUGUGGGAGAGGUGAGUGGAAUUCCCGGUGUAGCGGUGAAAUGCGUAGAGAUCUGGAGGAAUACCGGUGGCGAAGGCGGCCCCCUGGACGAAGACUGACGCUCAGGUGCGAAAGCGUGGGGAGCAAACAGG